UAGAUUUCAUAAUCAAAAUACGGCUGUUCUCUUCAAACACUGCACAGGACAAACCAUAACAAAUGUCCUGACUAUUUCACCCGCAGAUCAAAAUUUGGUGUUAUGGCCGUUGUCUUCUGCAUGUUUGUCGCUUGCAGCAAUAUGGAAAAAAUGUUGGUUCCAGACGAUUGAACCAUGGUGGUUUUAUUUACUAUGCACUAGAGUAAUUAGUGAAUGAUGUGAACAGUGAGCAGGGUUGGCUAUGAACUUUGUGGUUUUAUGUAUGUAUCAUAAUAUAACUGUUAAAAUAACUUUACAAGUCUGGCUACGAACAGGGUUGAUGUUCCAAAUCGUUUGCAUGCACCAACUUUACGACUCAUCUUUUUUGUUUCCAAAAAGUAAUCAAGCAGCAGGACCGAUCCAGCGAUGGCAGUGACUAGCUUCUCUUGCCAAGGUCAAACUUGGUCGCCUUGGCCUUCACAUUGGCGAAGGUGUGUCCUGGCUAGCGGUGUAGAGUGCUUGACCAUCUGGGCGCGCCUAUGGAACUUGCACAGCUCGAACUCAUACAUGCACGUGGAGUUGGAUUCCUCUCCCAAUUCCAAGAUUCAAAGUUGUUUCCAGGAAACUUUCUCAUCCAGCAGGGCGUGUAAGGGAAAGCUGCAUCCUUCUCUCUGCAUGGUAGUUCACAGACGGGUUCGAAAUCUGCUCGACACACAUUGCCCAAGUCCUGAAUUUUUGAGAUGUUCCAGUCAUAGGCCAUUCCUCUUGCUUCUUUCCUUGAUGAAAUCUUCAUCAAUAAGACGAUCUCGUUUUCGCCCGGUUUUCCGUUGAUUAACUGGGCAAUUCUUUUCUGCUUAAUUAAUUGAUGAGGCAAAUCUUUUGCCUCCAUUUUGAAAAAAAAAGACGAUCUCUUUAGAACUUAGAAGGAUGAAACCCAACUACCCAAGGAAGUAAUAAUCUCUGCUGUAUCCCUCUUCAACAGCGUAUUCAAUGUCAAGAAAGUUAUCCUCGCUAAAGUUCCAGUCAGGAUUUUAAAACAUUUUCCUCUCUUUUACACGUAGGACCCCAACGAUGACAACAAGAACACAAUUGGGUACUGUACACAUAGCGACAUCAUCGGAGAUGCUUUGGCCACCAUCUCCGGUGCAAUCCUUGCCGAUAGCAGGCAAGGAAAUAAGGGCCUCCCUAUGGAGGUUGAACCGAUGUUUUUCUUUUCUCGUUUAUGUUUUUACCGGGGUGACCAGGUAAAACUGGCUAUUCGAAAAUCUUAUAAUAUUUGAAUCAUUUUGCUUGAAAUAUCCAAUGAAAAUUGAAUUUAAAAUAUUUUAGCACCCAAAUGUAUGGCAUUUAAUGUAUCAUAUAUAAAAAUUAAUUGUUGUUCUAGUGGUUAGUGAGCUGCCUUUUCUCCCCAAGGGCGUAGGUUCAAUUCCUCACUCAUUCGCCAAUCACCUUUUUUUCAAGUGCGAGUACGCUCGUCUCCAACUUGCCUAGAACAGUUUGCCUUUAUAAGCCAUACAAAUUCUAUUUCAAACCAUCCCGUCGUACGACACCAAAUUUUUUGGGGACCAACGGCAUUUCUAGUAACCGGCCCGUUACCGAAAAAUCCAAUCGAAAAAGCACCUUGGGUUGAAAAGCAGAAUUGGAAGCAUUUUUUCCUUCGAUCUUCAGCUUUCAAAGCCAAGGCCAGUGCGGUGGCUAUACCCUAUGGAGCGCCAGAUCUAAACGAGCCAAGCGUAGAUCCGUCGUCUUCCCCUCCAUCUCUAUGCUGGCCAAGGAAGACGGGAGAGACGAUCGCAUCAGCUUGGUCUCGCUAGCUGUCGAGUUUAUUGGAGGAGCCUUCACCAGAUCCAUCACCAACGACCAUCAUCAAUCAUAGAAUAUGACCAAUAGAGAGAGAGCCGAUGACCACCAAGAGCCGCCGUGAGCGCCAGGGCACAACUCAAGUACGGCAUCAAGCCAAUUGCCCUAAGGCGAACCUAGACCUAGACCUAACCCUACACUAACUACGCAAAAUGGCGCCCCAACUGCUUCUCUUAUCCCCGCUGUGUUGCGCAAUGUGUGAUCCCCCAAUUUGAGAAUGUCAGACUGGUGAGAACGCUCCCUGUGCGAAACUGCAUCCUGUUUGCUUUAGUAAGGACAUUAUUGAUUAAUGGAGGAAAUGCCUCAAUAUUGCAACAUAACCACUUUAAACGAUGGAAUUGGCAAAUGGUAGUAUACAUUAUAAGGUGGUGCUUCCCUGGUUCUGAUUUUACCAGUACCCACAAAACAACAGACCACAUAUAUACCUGAUUACUAACUGAGAUGACAAUAGUAUACUUUAUCCUAAUUAGGUGGCUGCAACACGAAUGGUCAAAAUAACCCAAAUAGGACCAAAUGCAUAACCUUAUUACACUAAAAGAACACCAAGACGAAUGUAUAUUGAGUUGAUUAGAAGUAGCAGCAUCUAUCACAUAUAGAUAACAAAAUCACUUUUACUACUGGAAGGAACCAUUUGUAUUACAAAAUAUUCCACUAACUUCAGCGGCAAAUGUCGUUUUAUGUACUAUCGUAACAGCAAAGUAGUUUUACAGUGCCAAAGUCCUUAAAUAGCUGACGAGUCUGGAUCCACACACCGAAGGAAAAACAGUUCGAAUAAUUCCUACUGAGAAUGUAGGUAUUUUGACUUAUUCAAGCUUACCAAGCCGCUAUACGGCGCGUCUACGACGAUUCUUGGCGUUAGAUUCCUUGACUCUCUUGGUGUGCCCGCGAUGCUUGCGCAGCUCAUACUCGUCCAUGAAGGUAAAGGUGGCUUUCUCUUUACGUUGAGAUUUCUGUUCCAACUUUUUUCUAUAUAGUUUCUCAUCUUCAAGUAGAGAUUCUAAUUCGUUACCAGCAAACACACCCAUCCAACAAGGCGUGUAUGGGAAAGAUGAGUCCGUCUCUCCGCAUGGUCGUCUGUCGAAGUCGUCGUAAUCUGUCGGACAUGAAGUGCCCAAAUCCUGGAAUUUCGAGUUGUUCCAGUCAUAGGCCAGUCCCCUGGCUGAUAUCCCUGAUGCAAUCAAGAAGACAACCUCUUUACAAGGAUGAAACCCAAGGAAAUAAUAGUUGUCACGGCAACCCCCUUGAACAUCAUCUUCAUUGUCAAGAAUGUUAUCCUCGUCGGAGUUCCAAUCAUAUUUCUCUUCCACCGGCGCUUUGUAAUUUGCAUGUGUUGUGUAAUCCUCAGGGUAUUUGAAAGACCACUUACAGUAGUUAACAUCCUGCAAGAUCCAUCGUUUGGCCAGUUGUCGAGCAUAGUCCUCACGUUCAAAGGUCUUUCCAAGAAAGGUAUCAUGUUUUAACACCCACUCAAUUCGACCGUACGAUUCAUUGAGAUACCAAAGCUGAAGUUGACUCCAGCCAUUAAUAAGUAUCGCACAAUAAACCCCUCCCAGUGAUCUCCCCAGAUGGUGGUUCGGAUAACCUCUCAAUUCACAGGCACCUGGUAGCUUGAUUAUUUUGUACGUGAGAUCUGACAAGGACAUCCUGCAAAUAUGAACCAUCGGAUAAACAGCUUAACAACAACAUAAGCGGAUCAUGCUGCUAGUAGUAUAUAUUUGCUAAAUUAGGAUGACCACCGAGGAGCAAGUAAGUACUUCCUCCGUUCCUAAAUAUAAGUCUUUCUAGAGAUUCCAUCAAGUGACUACAUACGGAGCAAAAUGGAUGAAUCUACACUAAAAUAUGUCUACAUACAUCCAUAUGUUGCAUUUCAUUUGAAAUGUCUAAAAAGACUUAUAUUUAGGAACGGAGGGAGUAGUUACCUCGCAAGAUAGCCAUGCUGGCAAUGAAUGUAGAGCGUGCUUUGCCAGUAGACGGCAUGAUAACGAUGCUGUUUAUACCACAAAUCCGAAUCCAUGUUGCCGACGAUCCCUGCAGCCUCCCCUUUCCGAAGGAAGGUCGUCUCGUCCCACCGUUGUGUCACCGAAGAGAACACAUGCAUCACGUAUGACGCGGGAGGCCACUCGUCGUCGUCCGAUUCGUCCUCAUCCGAUUCGCCGGCCGCUGGCAAGCGUGGGAUCAGAAAGACCUGGUAGUGCGUCGACACGGCGGGAUCGAACACGAGGUAGGCGGUCUGAUCGAAUCCCGGCAUGUGCGGCCGAGGGCGUUGGGGCAGACGCGCCCACCGAUGCGUGGCCGGGUUGACGACGUACUCACGCGGCAGCGCACGGUCCUCGUUCAUCCGUUCGCCGCAGAGCAGGAGCCCGUUGCAAUGGUCCGUGACCUGGACGCCCAUGCAGGGCAGGAAGUCGAGCCCCCCGCAAAUCGCCGGGCCCGUCGAGGGGCGGGAGAAGAACUCGGAGAAGCAGCUAUGCUGGUUGAAGUUGAUGAAGAUGCCGCGCACCGAGCGCGAGAGCAGGCUGCCGCGCAGGCGGGCGUCGACGGCGUCGCGCCACGCCUUGCAGACCCGCCGGGCCGCGGCCAGGACGUGCGGCGCGAGGCGCCGGAGGACCUCCGCGAGGGCGUCGUCGGGUAGCACGGCCGGCUCCGGUGCCAUCAUCGGUCGGUCGCUCUAUCUCGUUCGCGCCGCUCGGUCUGGUUUUCCCGUCGUCCGCGAUCGCGCACGCGCAACGCGGUGUUCUAGGGCUUGUAAGUUGUUGGCGAAUUGUAUAUUGGAACGAGGUGCAAACAAACCUCGGACUGUUGAUGUAUGGGACUGCUUGCCGGCCCGGAGUAUAUAUUGGAGAUCAAAGCGUUAGUUAGUUGGAAAUUGGGAUCUGUCUAAGGGCGUGUACAAUGGUUGAUAAGAUAGUCUUAUCUUAAGUCUUGCAUGUAAUUUAGAAAUGACAAAAAUUUGUGUGUACAAUGGGUCAUCUCUAAGCCUUAUCUUCAAUAACUAGCUAUUCCUAGAAACAUGGUGAGACAAAUUGUGCUAAGAGAUCAUCUCUUGUCUUCUCUUAAAUAAGAGAAGACAAGCCUUUUCUUAUGAUUUCUCUCUCCUCCACCUCAUCGUUUAUCCUACGUGUCAUUGCUAAGAUAGAACCAUUGUACAUGCCCUAACCGUAAGAUUGCGGAUAGAUGCUAGGGCCGCCUUUGAAUGGGUCUCGUUUUCGCGUUGACCGUAAGGAACCACUGGGAAUAGCUUAGGGACGGAGGCGUUGACACCUCGUACUAUUUUUUUUCGAAGACACAUCCUACCAUGGAGGAAUUGACCCGGGCUCGGUGGCUGAUGCCAGGCUAGGAGUGGAAGGAUGGGUCUUCCACUCUUCAUACCAUGGUCGGUGCGUUGUGAUGUUGAUGGUUGGCGGUGGCUCGGGACAUGGAUGCCGAUGCGGCACCCGGGUUGGUGGUUCACAUGGUGGGUCUCCUGCGGGCACCAUGCCGGUAGUGGUGGCUAUGCCGCUUGGUCGUCCGAACGGCGAGGCGUGUAGCGGUGGGUGGCAGGCUCGCUAUUUGUCGUUGACAGUAGCGACGCCUAGAUCCGGAUCUGGAGACUUGUAUUCGUCACGGUUGUUUCGGGUGCUUCAUGGUAGCAUGGGUGAGAUGCUGAGCGAAAGUUUUGUGUUGUGAUGCCGACAACGGCAACACAUGCGGGCGCUUCUAUAUCUCAAAGACGUUGUCGUGGUUCUCCUCUUCAUGUCAGGGUUUCAAGUGAAAACCCUUCUCCAUUUCGGGCUCGGUGGGGACAACACUUAGCGUGGUUACCUUUCCCGAGGGCGUUGUCGUGGAGCUUAGGCGUCCUAAGUGGAGUUGUAUUUAGGUCGCCCUGUGUUUUCUUCGCUAGUAGUCGCGUGCAGUUGUCCGGUUAUCUCAGUAUCUGCUUUGUAAGAGGUCUAACUCACGCCGUGUCUUGUUCGGAUGUGUAUCUUUGAUUUGUGCUUUAUUUAUAAAGCAGGACGAGAGCCCUAUUCUAGAGAAGCAUGCAUACAACAUGUCAUAUGUGGGUUCUUUUAAAGAAAAUGAUUUGAAAAUUUCUCACGGCGUGGUCACAGUAUGCGGGUUCCUAAUUAAGGGUCCAGCGUCUUUUUUUUAACAGUGUACAUAAUGAUCCCUGUUGCUUUCCAGCUGUGAAUACGUACGUACCUGUGAUGCCGAUCAGAGGGCUCUGCAUGCACCGCCGGCCGGAUGCAUCGAUCCCAACAAACAAAUACUGCAUCGACCUUAACCAGACCGGCCAAACCCUAGAAAAUAUCCAAGCACAGAUCGAUCGAUCGAUCGAUUGAGGGCACACGAAGCAGAUGGCCGACGGCGAUCUGGAGCUGGUGGUACCGGAGGCCGACGACCGUAGCAGAUGGGCAGUGACGUUCCUAGUGGGCUGCGCCGGCGUCUUGGUUGUUUGCAUCUCCACCACCUUUCCAACGACCGAUGAGGGCCUCCUCAUGACGCUCCUCUCGCUUCUGCCCAUCUUGCUCGGCUUCAGUCUUUGCUCCCUUUCAUGCCUUUUCCUUAUGGACAGGUAUAUGGUUGGUCUUAUUCCGGAGGGUGAACUAAGGCUAGUUGAUAGACUUUUGUUGCUCUAGUAAUUAAUUCAGAAUGAUUGAUUCUGUCAACCACAUGGAGCCUGUGGUGAACCUCCUCAACCUCAAGAUUGGCCAGCUAAAUCUCUUGAAAGAGAAGGUGCGUGUGUACAUUCGUAGGUGUGAGUGUCUGAGUUUGUACCAUGUUUCUAAAUAACAGUUAAUUCAUAUAUAUCCAUCGAGACAUUCAUUUAUCUAUCUGUGACUAAUUGUGCAUUUAUCAAUUAAUGUCACAUUAGAUCCUUCUAUAUCCGUAUGUACAUUUUACUUUUUUUGAGCAAGCAUAACGGCACUCGCAAAUGCGAGGACAUCAUCUUUAGGGUGCUGAAGAUAAAAAUAAUUUUCUGCUUUCAUGCACAUUCAUAUUAUGCCACUAAUAAUACUAUAUGAUAUGCUUGUAUAAUUAACUACCACAAAUGAUAUACAAAGUGACCGAUUUGCUAGUUCACAUCUACUCCCUCCGUUUCAAAAUAGGUGACCCAAUUUUGUAUUAACUUUGUACUAAACUUAGUACAAAAUCGAGUCAUCUAUUUUAAAACGGAGGGAGUAGAUGUGAAUUAGUUAUGUCACAUCUAACUCCUGUGCCGUCUGAUUUCCAUGUGCUAAGAUUAGUUUUUUUUGUCGAUGGCCUGGCUUGUCGCGGUGUCGUCUGAUUUCCAUGUGCUAAGAUUAGUUUUUUUUGGAACGGAGGCUUCAGAGGAGCCCGACUUUGAAUUAACAAAGCCAUCAACCGGCCAGGAGUACAGAAGCAGACCACACACAAAGCAACGGCUAAAGGAUACAAGGGAGAAAGAAGAACAGCUUACAACGCUACACCUACAACUAGCGAACAGAAAAUUACAUUGAAGUGCAGCUAAUUGAGGAUAAGCCCACUACACAAAGGCCCUGAAACGACUACGGAAGAAGCCACGAGGAUCUGCAGCCGCCAGAAUAGGUCGGGCACAUGACUGAAACUAGGAACUGGAGAUGACACAACACACGGCUUCUCUAACACCGAAGGGGAACCCUUCCCCUCGCCCAGGCUCGAAGGCGCCGAACCAUCGAAGUGUAGAGAUACUCACCCGAGAGCUAAAGCUAGGUUGGGCUCAAGUCCGGGCCAGCCAUGGACCACCACCAACAUCAUGCCGGAGCAUACACACGCUAGCUGCAACGCAGGUGUCGAAGGGUACCGAUGGAAGAGGGUAAGCCGCCGGGAGAGUCGUCGAAAGGAAGAAGCUGCCAAGCCACAUGGCGAAGAUUAGGCUCGAGGAACUCAAGAACUAGCCGAAUCGUCGGCACCAACGGUGCUGCUGCUGCCGAGAAGGGGAACCCGAUCCCCUUCGACCCAGUCUCGAGGGCGCCGACCCGCCAGGGCAUUGCAAAACACCACCGCUGAGCAACUUGUGGCUGAAUCUGAAACCUGCACAGAAGAUAUGCCAUCGACUCCACAGACGCCAGACGCCCACCUGCAACUGCUAUACGCCCCCAAAGCACCAACCUUCCCCAGACGACACGUCCAUGGAGGACACAACGCACCAGGCGCCGCCGCCACCCAUCGCACGCCGGGAUUUGAGCUUUCGCCCGAGAGGCAUGGUUGGGGUGUGGACGGGAGCCCACGGCUGCGACUCCAACGAGCAAAAUGACCCAAAAGGGCCGCCGCCGCUGCCGUGCUGGGCAUACCAACAGGGGUUUCCCCCGGGUUCGUCCAGCACCACCAGCUCGGGGAACACCCCGCCGACACCAGAUCCGGCGACCAGAGGCCCGGAAUCAGGCGAAUCCAGCGAGGGAGAGUAGAGAGAGGGAAAACCUGUCGUUCAGAUCUAGAGUAGAGGAGGGGGAACCUCGCCGCGCCACAACCACUGCCCGCCAGGAAACCCUAGGGGCCCUCGGGUCGCCCCGGGGAGGACGACGCGAGGGGAGGGGAGGGGGCGCCUGGUGAUGCAGCUUGAAGCUACGUCGGUAUUUCCCCAAAGAGGAAGGGAUGAUGCAGCACAUCGGCGGUAGGUAUUUCCCUCCAUUAUGAGAUCAAGGUUAUCAAACGAGUAGGAGAACCAAGCAACACAACAUAAACAACACCUGCACACAAAUAACAAUUACUCGCAACCCGACGUGUAAAAGGGGUUGUCAAUCCCUUCCAGGUAGCGACGCCUCAAGAUAGGCAAACCAACGUGAAUAAAAUUGUAGUAGAUUGAUAGAUCGAACGCCAAAUAAAAUAAAUAAGAAUAAAUUGCAGCAAGGUAUUUUUGUAUUUUUGGUUUAAUAGAUCUUAAAAUAAAAGCAAAGGAAAAUAGACUGCAAAGGCAAAUAAUAUGAGAAAGAGACCCGGGGGCCGUAGGUUUCACUAGUGGCUUCUCUCGAGAAAAUAGCAAACGGUGGGUAAACAAAUUACUGUUGGGCAAUUGAUAGAACUUCAAAUAAUCAUGACGAUAUCCAGGCAAUGAUCAUUAUAUAGGAAUCAUGUCCAAGGAAUCAUGUCCAAGAUUAGUAGACCGACUCCUGCCUGCAUCUACUACUAUUACUCCACACAUCGACCGCUAUCCAGCAUGCAUCUAGUGUAUUAAGUUCAUGAAGAAACAGAGUAAUGCAAUAAGAACGAUGACAUGAUGUAGACAAGAUCUAUCUAUGUAGAGAUAGACCCCAUCGUUUUAUCCUUAGUAGCAAUGAUACAUAUGUGUCGGUUCCCCUUCUGUCACUGGGAUCAAGCACCGUAAGAUCGAACCCACUACAAAGCACCUCUUCCCAUUGCAAGAUAAAUAGAUCAAGUUGGCCAAACAAAACCCAAAUAUCGGAGAAGAAAUACGAGGCUAUAAGCAAUCACGCAUAAAAGAGAUCAAAGAAACUCAAAUACUUUCAUGGAUAUAAAAAGAUAGAUCUGAUAAUAAACUCAAAGUUCAUCGGAUCCCAACAAACACACCGCAAAAAGAGUUACAUCAUAUGGAUCUCCAAGAGACCAUUGUAUUGAGAAUUCAGCGAGAGAGAGGAAGCCAUCUAGCUUCUAACUACGGACCCGAAGGUCUACAAAGAACUACUCACGCAUCAUCAGAGAGGCACCAAUGGAGGUGGUGAACCCCAUUCGUGAUGAUGUCUAGAUUGGGCUGGUGGUUCUGGACUUUGCGGCGGCUGGAAUUGAUUUUCGCCGACUCCCCUAGGGUUUGUGGAAUAUUGGGGUAUUUAUAGAGCAAAGAGGCGGUCCCAUGGGCACCCGAGGUGGGCACAACCCACCAGGGCGCGCCUGGGCCUCCUGGCGCGCCCUGGUGGGUUGUGCUCUCCUCGGAGCACCCCCAGGCACAGCCUUGGCCCAUUAGGUGUCUUUUGGUCCAAAAAAAUUCUCCGUAAAGUUUCGUUGCAUUUGGACUCCGUUCGGUAUUGAUUUCCUGCGAUGUACAUGCAGAAAACAGCAACUCGCACUUGGCACUAUGUCAAUAUGUUAGUACCAAAAAUGAUAUAAAAUGACUAUAAAAUGAAUAUAAACAUCCAAGAUUGAUAAUAUAACAACAUGGAACAAUAAAAAAUUAUAGAUACGUUGGAGACAUAUCAGUUGGUUGUGUUUUGUUUGCCUUUUUCCGUUUGACUCAUGUUGGCAAUGUUAGUUACAAUGCUUUCUUACACUACAGGGUUUUGCACGUCUAAGUGCUGUUUAUGGUGGCACUUACAUGUUAAGUAAGCCAGAAUGCAAGGUAUUAUUUGUCACCUACCUAUUAGUAACCCACAUAAUCUGUAUGGUAAAUCACAAUUUCUUUCACCUGUGCCACCUAAUUCAUGUAGGUUGAAUUCGACAUGGAAGGAAAAGUGUGUGGUGUUACAUCAGAAGGUGAAACCACAAAAUGCAAGAAAGUUGUCUGCGAUCCAUCGUACUUGACCAACAAGGUGAAUAUUCUUCUUGCCCGCACUCUGUCAAGUUUAAUACAUGGCAAACAUUUAGUCUAACUUUGGCCUUUUAUCUUAAUUAUUCACUUCCCUUCCUUAGAAGUUCAUAUUUACUACAACCUCAUCUGGCACUUUUGUUAUGCAUUGCUUCCAAUGAUGAUGUUUUGCUCAUGUUUUUCAACAGGUCAGGAAGAUCGACAAAGUUGCACGUGCAAUUGCUAUUAUGAGUCAUCCAAUCCCAAAUACAAAUGAGUCCCACUCAGUCCAGAUUAUUUUGCCACAGAAACAACUUGGACGCAAUUCAGACAUGUGAGGCCUAUUUCAAGCCCAAACAAUUUUCAUUUGAUGGAUGACUAGAUUUACCUCUCAUCACUUGAUUGAAUGAUUACACAAUCCUUUCUUUUGCGAUGGAAAUGAUUACACAAUCCUCAUUUAUGAUAUUUCUGUUGGUCUCCUCUUGUUACGUAUGUCUUCUGUUGCUCAUACACCCACAAUGUUGCACCAAAAGGGAAGUUCAUUGCAUUUGUCUUUGCAGAAGCGGAGAGUGAUAAUAUACAAUCUGAACUCAAGCCUGCCAUUGAUCUACUUUGUCCAGUAGAUGAGCUCUUUUUUAUAUGUAUGACAUAUAUGAACUAGUGAACGGACAAUCUCUUGAUAAUUGCUUCGUCAUAACGGUAAAUUUUGCAGUAUAUGUAUCAUAACAAGAGGUUUUGUUUAUGUUUAGGUUGUUAUAGAUGUUUAUGACAAUUUAUUUCUUUGUAGAGCUAUGAUGCUACCACACAUUUUGAGACAACCAUUGUCGGAUAUCGGGUUCCGGCAAAACCCUUAAGGUUCGAACACUGGGGUGCACACGAAGAUCUCCUCCUACCGAAUCUCGCUCUUAGCCUCGCCGCGAUCCCUAAGCUAGAUCGAUGAACAACACAAGAGACACAAGAUUUAUACAGGUUCAGGCCACCGUUGUGGUGUAAUACCCUACUCCUGUGUGUGGUGGUGGAUUGUCUCUUUUGCUGAUGAUGAACAGUACAGAGUAAGAACAACCUCGCGAGGAGAGGUGUUCUUGGCUAGUGUGGUGUUCUGCUUGGGCAGGGUUCGAUCUGUCUCUAGAUGAGAUGCCUUCCUACUGUGGUGGCUAUCUCUAUUUAUAGAGGCCCUGGUACUCUUCCCAAAUAUUGAGCGGGAAGGGAUCCAACAAUGGCCAUUUUGAAAGGGGACAACUUGUACAAGCUAUCCUGACUAAAGGUGGUCUUCGCUUGCCAAAGGUGCUGGUGAUGACGCCGUCUUGGGCUCCACGGUGACCUCUGUCCUCCCGUCCUACUGGUCUUGUUCUUGUUGCACCGAUAUGGAAACCUUUGCCUGAUGCCUCAGUACUCCGCGCCUGCGCUUGCCCCCUUUGCACCAAAGAGGAAACAAGGACACUGCGCGGGCCGGCGCCCGCCUGGUCUUGAUCGUCAUGGCUUGCGUCAUGGGAACCUCGCGAGGUACCCCAUGCCUUGAUCUCUCCGCCUCCUUGUGAGCCUGCCUGGCAAGACCACUCCUAAGGAGGCCUUGUGCCGUCCGCCCCGCGAGGCUUGGCCCCUCGUGAGGGUCUUGAGUGUUGGUUGAUGAAGACGGGCCAUACUGGGCCAUCGAUUGAGCCACGACGCAGGCAGGCAAGUCUGGGGACCCCCGUUCCCAGAACACCGACAGUAGGCCCCGGGCCCAAGGUGCACUCGGACUUGGCUUAGCAGCAGAGCCAAAGGGCAAGUGUGGAGAGCCGCGGGCCCCAACAGCCUGCGGCCUUGGUUGACGCGUGGCGACUAAUUGGACGUGGGCGUCUCCUUUUCCCCACGCUGCCUCGGCAACUGCCUGACUGACAAAAGACUGGCGUGGGCAUGGCUUGCCUUCAUUGCUCUCCUUCGUUUUGCUCCAGAUCCCCUUCCUUGCUUCCUUGCUCCCGAAAUCUCCAGAACCGCUCCACUCCUUCCCUUUCAGCAAGCGAUGGUGCCCCGCAAGGUCAAGGUUGAUGCACUUCCGGCUUGGUAUUUGCCGGCCCUGGAUGCCCCCAAUGUGUCGGAGAAGAAUCUCGCCGCCACGCGCCCGAUGACGGCGGUGGAGGGCAGCGAGAGGGGGGAGACCGAACUCCGGGCUGGCUCCACCGAGCCGGAGGCUAAGGGGAGCACUUUCUACCCCUUCUUCGUGAACGCCAUUGUUGCAGGCCUGGUUCCUCUCUUCUCUGACUUCUUCUACGCUGUCCUCCGCCAUUAUAGGUUGCAUGCCCUUCACCUCCAUCCCAACUCCGUUCUCCUCUUGUUGAUUUUCGCCUACUACUGUGAUGCACAUGUUGGGGUGAUGCCGUCCGUGGCUCUACUGCGCCACUUCUUCUCUCUCCGAAUCAACGGCGACCACUCCUCGGCGUAACUUUGUCGCGUACGGAAAGGCCAACACGACCUCGAAGGCCUGGAAGAGGGCCGAGAACUUCCGGAGCAAGUGGGUCAUGGUGAAUGCCAAGUGCGUCCACCCCCGGUUGACGCUGCCAAUGGAAGCGCCCCAGCCUGACGAAGGGUGGUCUCGCGCGAAGCUUGCUGACGAUUGGGCGAAGUUGGUGCUGGAGAAGAUGAACGCCGAUUUGAAGCCGGGCAAUGUGAAGGUGGCGAAGCUGGCGGGGGCCACGCUCCUGAGGGAGUUCCUGACGCAGCGGGUGGCUCCGCUUCAGGCGCACUCGCGCCCCUUAUGGACGCUUGGGGAUGCAGACGACAAGCUCCGCCUGAAUCCGGUGGCUCUGGCUGACGAUGAACUGGCCUUAGCUCUUCGCCUCUUGGUAGUAACUUGAUAUGAAGUUUCAUGAUCAUCAUUAUUAACUUCCUCACUAGUUGGUGUAGGCAUCACUGGAACUAAUUUCAGUGAUGAACCAUUUUUCAAUUCGGGAGAAGGUACAACUACCUCAUAAAGUUUUACUUUCCUCCCACUCACUUCUUUCUAGAGAAACUCCUUCUCUAGAAAGGAUCCAUUCUUAGCAACAUAUAUCUUGCCUUCGGAUCUGUGAUAGAAGGUGUACCCAACAGUUUCCUUAGGGUAUCCUAUGAAGACGCAUUUCUCCGAUUUGGAUUCAAGCUUAUCAGGUUGGAACUUUUCACAUAAGCAUCACUACCCCAAACUUUAAGAAACGACAGCUUAGGUUUCUUGCCAAACCACAAUUCAUAUGGUGUCGUAUCAACGGAUUUAUAUGAUGCCCUAUUUAACGUGAAUGCAACUGUCUCUAAUGCAUACCCCCAAUAGAUAGUGGUAAAUCGGUAAGAGACAUCAUAGAUUGCACAUAUCUAAUAAAGUAUGGUUACGACGUUCAGACACACCAUUAUGCUGUGGUGUUCCAGGUGGCAUGAGUUUGUGAAACUAUUCCACAUUGUUUUAAUUUAAGGCCAAACUCGUAACUCAAAUAUUCGCUUAUGCGAUCAGAUCGUAGAAAUUUUAUUUUCUUGUUACGAUGAUUCUCCACUUCACUCUGAAAUUCUUUGAACUUUUCAAAUGUUUUAGACUUGUGUUUCGUCGAGUAGAUAUACCCAUAUAUGCUCAAAUCAUUUGUGAAGGUCAAAAAACACUGAUUCACGCCAUGAGCCUCAACACUCAUCGGACCACAUACAUUAGUAUGUAUUAUUUCCAAUAAGUCAGUGGCUCGCUCCAUUGUUUCGAAGAACAGAGUCUUAGUCAUCUUGCCCAUGAGGCAUGGUUCGCAAGCAUCAAAUGAUUCAUAACCAAGUGAUUCCAAAAGUCCAUCCGCAUGGAGUUUCUUCAUGCGCUUUACACCAAUAUGACCUAAACGACAGUGCCACUAGUAUGUUGCACUAUCAUUAUCAACUUUGCAUCUUUUGGCAUCAAUAUCAUGAAUAUGUGUAUCACUAUGAUCGAGAUUCAAUAAACCAUUCACCUUGGGUGUAUGACCAUAGAAGGUUUUAUUCAUGUAAACAGAAUAACAAUUAUUCUUUGACUUAAAUGAAUAACUGUAUUGCAAUAAACAUGAUCCAAUCAUAUUAUGCUCAACACAAACACCAAAUAACAUUUAUUUUAUGUUCAACACUAAUCCCAAAGGUAAAGGGAGUGUGCGAUGAUGAUCUUAGCAACCUUGGAAUCACUUCCAAGACACAUCGUCACCUUGCCCUCAACUAGUCUCUUGUUCAUUUUAUAACUCUUGUUUCAAGUUACUAAUCAUAGCAACUGAACCAGUAUCAAAUACCCAGGGGCUACUAUGAAUAGUAGUAAAGUACACAUUAAUAACAUGUAUAUCAUAUAUACUUUUGUUCACUUUGCCAUCCUUCUUAUCCGCCAAGUAUUUGGGGCAGUUCCGCUUCUAGUGAUCAUUUCCUUUGCAGUAGAAGCACUCAGUUUCAGGCUUGGGUCUAGCUUUGGGCUUCUUCAUGGGAGUGGAAACUUUCUUGUCAUUCUUCUUGAAGUUCCCUUUCUUUCCCUUGCCCUUUUACUUGAAACUAGUGGUCUUGUUAACCAUCAACACUUGAUGCUAUUUCUUGAUUUCUACCUUCGCCAAUUUCAGCAUCACAAAGAGCUUGGGAAUUACUUUCGUCAUCCCUUGCAUAUUAUAGUUCAUCACUAAGUUCUAGUAACUUGGCGAUAGUGACUAGAGAACUUUGUCAAUUACUAUCUUAUCUGGAAGAUUAACUCCCACUUGAUUCAAGCAAUUGUAGUACCCAGACAAUCUGAGCACAUGCUCACUGGUUGAGCUAUUCUCCUCCAUCUUGUAGGCAACGUACUGCCAGAGGUCUCAUACAUCUCGACACGGGCAUGAGUAUGAAAUACCAAUUUCAACUCUUAGAACAUCUUAUAUGCUCCGAGGCGUUCAAAGCGUUUUUAAAGUCCCGGUUCUAAGCUGUAAAGCAUGGUGCACUAAACUAUUAAGUACUCAUCAUACCGAGCUUUGUCAAACGUUCAUAACGUGUGCAUCUGCUCCUGCAAUAGGUCUGUCACCUAGCGGUGCAUCAAGGACAUAAUUCUUCUGUGCAGCAAUGAGGAUAAUCCUCAGAUCACGGACCAAGUCCGCAUCAUUGCUACUAUCAUCUUUCAACUUCUUUUUUCUCUAGGAACAUAUCAAAAAUAAAUGAGAAGCUACAUCGCAAGCUACUGAUCUACGACAUAGAUAUGCAAAUACUAUCAGGACUAAGUUCAUGAUAAAUUAAAGUUUAAUUAAUCAUAUUACUUAAGAACUCCCACUUUGAUAGAUAUCCCUCUAAUCAUCUAAGUGAUCACGUGAUCCAUAUCAACUAAACCAUGUCCGAUCAUCACGUGAGAUGGAGUAGUAUUCAAUGGCGAACAUCACUAUGUUGAUCAUAUCUACUAUAUGAUUCACGCUCGACCUUUCGGUCUCAGUGUUCCAAGGCCAUAUCUGCAUAUGCUAGGUUCGUCAGGUUUAACCCGAGUAUUUUGCGUGUGCAAAACUGGCUUGCACACGUUGUAUGUGAACGUAGAGCUUAUCACACCCGAUCAUCACGUGGUGUCUCGGCACGACGAACUGUAGCAAUGGCGCAUACUCAGGGAGAACACUUGUACCUUGAAAUUUAGUGAGAGAUCAUCUUAUAAUGCUACCGCCGUACUAAGCAAAAUAAGAUGCAUAAAGGAUAAACAUCACAUGCAAUCAAAUAAGUGACAUGAUAUGGCCAUCAUCAUCUUGUGCCUUUGAUAUCCAUAGCCAAAGCACCGUCAUGACCACCAUCGUCACUGGCUUGACACCUUGAUCUCCAUUGAAGCAUCAUUGCCGUCUCACCAACUAUUGCUUCUACGACUAUCGCUACCACUUAGUGAUAAAGUAAAGCAAUUACAUGGCGAUUACAUUUCAUACAACAAAGCGACAACCAUAUGGCUCCUGCCAGUGGCCGAUAACCGUUACAAAACAUGAUCAUCUCAUACAAUAAUUUAUAUAUCAUCACGUCUUGACCAUAUCACAUCACAACAUGCCCUGCAAAAACAAGUUAGAUGUCCUCUACUUUGUUGUUGCAAGUUUUACGUGGCUGCUACGGGGUUCUAGCAAGAACCGUUCUUACCUAUGCAUCAAAACCACAACAAUUUUUUGUCAAGUGUGUUGUUUUAACCUUCAACAAGGACCGGGCGUAGUAAAACUUGAUUCAACUAAAGUUGGAGAAAUAGACACCCACUAGCCACCUGUGUGCGAAGCAUGUCGGUAGAACCAGUCUCAUGAACGCGGUCAUGUAAUGUUGGUCUGGGCCGCUUCAUCCAACAAUACCGCCGAAUCAAAAUAAGACAUGCUGGUAAGCAAUAUGACUAUUACCGCCCACAACUCAUUGUGUUCUACUCGUGCAUAUAACAUCUACGCAUAGACCUAGCUCGGAUGCCACUGUUGGGGAACGUAGCAUUUAAUUUUUUUGCCUACGAUCACGCAAGAUCUAUCUACGAGAAGCAUAGCAAUGAGCGGGGAGAGUGUGUCCACAUACCCUCGUAGACUGAAAGUGGAAGCGUUUAGUAACGUGGUUGAUGUAGUCGAAUGUCUUCGUGAUCCAACCGAUCAAGUACCAAACGCACGGCACCUCCACGAUCUGCACACGUUCAGCUCGGUGACGUCCCUCGAACCUUGAUCUAGUUGAGGCCGAGGGAGAGUUUCGUCAGCAUGACAACAUGGUGAUGGUGAUGAUGAAGUUCAUCGGCAUAGGGCUUCGCCUAAGCACUAUGACGAUAUGACUGAGGUGUAAAACUGUGGAGGGGAGGCACCACACACGCUAAAGAUCAACUUGUGUGUCUUUGGAGUGCCCCCUGCCCACAUAUAUAAAGGAGGGGGGAAGAGGAGGCCGGCCUAGAAGGGGCGCUGUAACGCCCACGAUGCGGCUAUAUCUCCCAUGUGUCGAAGCACGACUUAGAGGCAUAACCGCAUGGUGGUUUUGUCGCAAGAAGGGUCAUCUUCACACAAUCCCAUGUAAUGAACAAGAAUGGGAUAAAGAGAGUUGGCUUACAAUCGCCACUUCACACAGUACAUAAAUAAGUUCAUACAUCAUUCAAAAUACACUCAUAGACCGACUACGGUCAAAUCCAAAUGAAAAGAAGAUAACCCCAAAUGCUAGAUCCCUGAUCGUCCCGACUGGGCUCCACUACUGAUCAUCUGGAAACGAAACAUAGUAACGACCAAGGUCCUCAUCAAACUCCCACUUCAGCUCAGUUGCGCCACUUGCGCUGGUUUCCUCGGCACCCGCAUCUGUUUUUGGUAGAAUCUGUGAGCCACGGGGACUCAGCAAUUUCACACCCGCGAGAUCAAGACUAUUUAAGCUUGUAGGUUGGAAAGUGGUAAUAUGGUGGAGCUGCAGCAAGCACUAAGCAUAUAUGGUGGCUAACAUACGCAAGUAAGAGAGAGAAGAGAAGCAACGCAUCGGUCGAGAAGCUAGAAGUGAUCAAGAAGUGAUCCUGAAACUACUUACGUUCAUCCAUAACCCAAACCGUGUUCACUUCCUGGACUCCGCCGAGAAGAGACCAUCACGGCUACACACACGGUUUAUGCAUUUUAAUGAAGUCAAGUGUCAUGUUCUCUACAACCGGACAUUAACAAAUUCCCAUCUGCCUCAUAACCGUGGGCACGGAUUUCGAAAGAUAAUAUACCCUGCAGGGGUGUCCCAACUUAGCCCAUCACAAGCUCUCAUGGUCAAGGAAGGAUUUACCUUCUCCCGGGAAGACCCGAUCAGUCUCGGAAUCCCGGUUUGCAAGACAUUUCGACAAUGGUAAAACAAGACCAGCAAAGCCACCUGACUGUGCCGACAAAUCCCGAUAGGAGCUGCACAUAUCUCAUUCUCAAGGCACACUGGAUUGUCCAAACUUCCGAUAGGCCAUCCCAGAGUUGCCCCUAGUGGCCACCGGCGGCUGACAGGUUGGACCAACACUCACGACGAGCACUGGCCCAGGGGGAGGGGGGUAAAUAAAGAUGACCCUCGGGCUCGCGAAAACCCGAGGGAAAAAGGCUUAGGUGGCAAAUGGUAAAACCAAGGUUGGGCCUUGCUGGAGGAGUUUUAUUCAAAGUGAACUAUCAAGGGGGUCCCAUAAAUCACCCAACCGUGUAAGGAACGCAAAAUCAAGGAACAUAACACCGGUAUGACGGAAACUAGGGAGGCAAGAGUGGAACAAAACACCAGGCAUAAGGCUGAGCCUUCCACCCUUUACCAAGUAUAUAGGUGCAUUAAUUUAAACACGAGAUAUUGUGAUAUCCCAAAAUAUCCAUGUUCCAUCAAGGAACAAACUUCAUCUUCAUUUGCAACUAGCAACGCUAUAAGAGGGGCUGAGCGAAAGCGGUGACAUAGCCAAACAACGGUUUGCUAGGAAAAGAUGGUUAGAGGCUUGACAUGGCAAUGUGGGAGGCAUGAUAAACAAGUGGUAGGUAGAGCUAACAUAACGAUAGAGCGAGCAACUAGCAAAGCAAAGAUAGAAGUGAUAUCGAGGGUAUGGUCAUCUUGCCUGCAAGGUUCUCAGAGUUAUCGAAGGCUUGAUCCUCGUUAGCGUACUCAACAGGUUCCUCGUGCACGUACUCGUCUCCCGUCUCUACCCAAAGCAAGAACACAAGCAAUGGAACCACGAUAAAUCACGGUGCAAUGCACAAGCAACAUGAUGCAAAACAUGGCAUGAUAUGCGAGAUGUGAUAUGUAAUGUGUAUGCGUGCUCCAGAAGGGAAAUGAUGAACAAGGCAUCAAAUUGGCAAACCAAGUAUGCCGCUGGAAAGAUGAGAUGAUUUCGGUUGAAAUCGAUAUAAAGAUCACCAGAAUCGGAUGCACAGUUUGCAAAUGGCAAGCAAAACAAGAAUGACACAAAUCUGCGAUUAACAGCACGAUGCUACUUAGCAUGCAACAAGAAACUAUGCUACAGUACCCCAACGUAAAAACAAAGCAUAUGGCAGUGAUCUACAGGAGAUGCUUGACAAAAUAGGAACACCGAGCUACUAAAUCACACAAUAGCAGGUUCAAACAAGCAUGGCAAAAGUGCAAAAGAUAUCAGCUUGGACAUGGCAUAAACAGCAUCAGGUAGCAAUGUUCAGAGCAAGCAAUCAACAUGCUACAUGAACUUAUAAUAUCAAAACAAGACAUGGCAUGAUUCUACUCAAAGCAUAGAACAAAAGUCCCUUACUAACCAUGAGCCAAAGAGGAUUAGAAGAUAUGAUGGCACCCAUGUAAACAUAACAAGUUUCGUUAACAGAUUCAGCAAACAGAGCAUGGCAUUAACAGCACCAUGAAGGCAUCUUUGCGAGCUUGAUUCACUCACCACAAGUCAUUUCAUGACAAUAUAAGCAUAGCACCAGCAAGAAUACAUGUUUAUGAAACUAACAUGGCAAGAACAAGUUCAUAUCAUGCAAGGAUCAACUACAACAACCUUGAAAAAAUUGAAUAACAUGUAAACAAUCUGCCAGGAAACAUUUUAUAGCAAAAGUAGAGCAAGAAAAUGACAUGCUAGACCACUCCAUAAUUGCAAAUAGGGGCAUGGAUGGAUAAAUCAUAACCAUAUGUUCAAAACAUCCUUACUUAAGUAUCUCAAAAUAUGCAUGGAUCUCUCUGUAGCAUCAACUCUACAUGGCAUAAAAAUAAGAGCAGAACAGGGACCGAAAUUAGCAACAUCACGAAGCCUAGUUUGCAUUCUUGUGCUAGUCACCACAUUGAUCACAAAAAUACAUGGUAAGCACCUCUGUAAAUAUGGCAUGGCCUAGAACAAAACACCUAUAGAGCUCAUGCCCAUAAGAUGCACACAAUAAAUGUAGUAAAAAUGACAAAUGCACACAUUCUGUUAAGAAUCAGAAACUAACAUUAUACAACACUCUUGCAUCAGAGAUUUGGGCAUCUAAAUGACCUAAAAUGAACAUGGCCCAAUGGAACAAAAUGAAGAGCACAACACAACCUGAUGAACAUUUUGAUAUAUCAUAUUCAUGAAACGGAUCUACGGAUGAGGAUAUAUGGCGCAAUGAAUAUGGCAUAAAAAUAAUGCAGACUUGGCGAAAAAAAUGAGGUCAACCUCUAGGGUUCCAGAUCUGGAUCGGGAUCGCGUGGAUCGAGGCGGGCCGGCGGCGGCUCGCCGGAGUUGGUGCGAGAGGAGGCCGGAGACAGGGUCGGGGCCGGCCGGGGCGCCCGGAUCCGGCCGGGGGCGCGAUCGGCGGCGAGGACCGCGNNNNNNNNNNNNNNNNNNNNNNNNNNNNNNNNNNNNNNNNNNNNNNNNNNNNNNNNNNNNNNNNNNNNNNNNNNNNNNNNNNNNNNNNNNNNNNNNNNNNNNNNNNNNNNNNNNNNNNNNNNNNNNNNNNNNNNNNNNNNNNNNNNNNNNNNNNNNNNNNNNNNNNNNNNNNNNNNNNNNNNNNNNNNNNNNNNNNNNNNNNNNNNNNNNNNNNNNNNNNNNNNNNNNNNNNNNNNNNNNNNNNNNNNNNNNNNNNNNNNNNNNNNNNNNNNNNNNNNNNNNNNNNNNNNNNNNNNNNNNNNNNNNNNNNNNNNNNNNNNNNNNNNNNNNNNNNNNNNNNNNNNNNNNNNNNNNNNNNNNNNNNNNNNNNNNNNNNNNNNNNNNNNNNNNNNNNNNNNNNNNNNNNNNNNNNNNNNNNNNNNNNNNNNNNNNNNNNNNNNNNNNNNNNNNNNNNNNNNNNNNNNNNNNNNNNNNNNNNNNNNNNNNNNNNNNNNNNNNNNNNNNNNNNNNNNNNNNNNNNNNNNNNNNNNNNNNNNNNNNNNNNNNNNNNNNNNNNNNNNNNNNNNNNNGUGGCUGGGGCGCGGCGGCGGACGUGUCCGACUCCGCCCGGACAUGUCCGAAGGCGGAGAGGGAGCGGGCUAGGGUUUCGGGAUCCAGAAAUUUUGGAGGGGUGCACAUAUUUAUAGGUAGAGGGAGCUAGGAGACUCCAAAUGGGGUGUAGUUUUCGCCCACACGAUCGUGAUCCGACGAUGGAGAGCAUGGAAGUUACUUAGAUGGGUUUUUGGGCUGUUUUGAAGGGGUGUUGGGCUGCAACACACAAGAGGCCUUCGCGGUUACCCGGUUAACCGUUGGAGUAUCAAACGACCUCCAAAUGGCACGAAACUUGUCAGGUGGUCUACCGGUGGUGUACCAAGGCCACUUGGCAAGCCUCGGUCCAUUCCGAGAACGUUUAACACCCACUCACAAAAAGACACAAGAGGGGUGCGCCGGUGCAUGUAGGAGUGUCGGAUUGCGAAACGGCCAACAGGGAAAAUGCUUGGAUGCAUGAGGCGAACACGUAUGCAAAUGAGAUGAACAUGAUGACAUGAUAUGAGAUGCAUGACAUGAAAAAAAUGCAAAACGAAAGACAAAACCCAACCACGGAGGGAAUACCAUAGCACAUAGCCGAAAAUGGCAAGAGUUGGAGUUACAAAUAUGGAAAGUUACAUUCGGGGUGUUACAACACUCCACCACUACAAGAGGAUCUCGUCUCGAGAUCUAGGACUGAAAGAACUCCGGAUAUUUGGAACGGAGGUGAUCCUCGCGCUCCCAGGUGGCUUCUCGAUCGGAAUGGUGUGACACUUCACUUUCAGGAAUUUGAUUGACUUGUUGCGAGUCUUGUGCUCAGUUUCUUCAAGAAUAACAACGGGGCGCUCAUGAUAAGAGAGAUCUUCUUGGAGGUCAAUUUCUUCGAAGUUGAUAGUGCGCUCAGGAGUCUUGAAGCACUUGCGAAGCUGUGACACAUGAAACACAUCGUGCAUGUUCGCGAAGUUGGACGGAAGCUCAAGUUGAUAGGCGAGAUCACCUCUUUUGCCAAUGAUCUUGAAAGGACCCACGUAUCUAGGGGCAAGCUUCCCUUUGAUACCGAAGCGACGAGUGCCUUUCAUUGGAGAGACACGGAGGUAGACAUGGUCUCCGAUUUCAAAAGCCACAUCAUGGUGCUUGUCAUCAUAAUAGCUCUUCUGGCGCGAUUGCGUGGCUUUGAGAUUCUCACGAAUGACUUUGCACAUUUCCUCGGCUUCUGUGAUCAAGUCGUUGCCAAGAAGUUGGCGUUCACCUGUCUCGGACCAAUUGAGAGGAGUACGACACUUUCUGCCAUAGAGAAUUUUGAAUGGGGCCUUGCCCGAACUCGCUUGGAAGCUGUUGUUGUAGGAGAACUCAACAUAUGGAAGACAAUCUUCCCACUUCAUGCCAAAGGAAAUGACACAAGCCCUGAGCAUGUCUUCAAGGAUUUGAUUGACUCGCUCGACUUGGCCACUUGUUUGAGGAUGGAAAGCUGUACUGAAACGAAUGUUGGUGCCCAUGGCCUUCUGAAAGGAGUCCCAGAACUUAGAAGUGAAGAUGCAUCCUCGAUCUGAAGAUAUCAAUUGUGGAAUGCCGUGCAAGGAGACAAUUCUGGAGGUGUAUAGUUCUGCUAGCUGAGCUACUGUGAUAUAUUCUUUGAUAGGAAGAAAAUGAGCCACUUUAGCAAGCUUGUCAAUGACAAUGAAGAUAACAUCAUUUCCAUGCUUGGACUUAGGAAAACCAGUCACGAAGUCCAUCUCUAUAUGAUCAAACUUCCAUUUCGGAAUAGCAAGAGGUUGGAGGAGACCAGCUGGUCAUUGGUGUUCUGCUUUCACCCUUCGGCAGACAUCACAUUCAUUCACGAAUUGAGCAAUUUCUUGCUUCAUUCGAGUCCACCAAUACGACUGUUUGCGGUCAUGGUACAUCUUUGUACUUCCAGGAUGAAUGGAUAGGAGGGAAUUGUGUGCCUCGUUCAUGAUGACUUUUCUCAGAUCGCCUUUCGGAACCACAAUUCGAUCCUCAAAGAAAAGAGUAUCUUUGUCAUCCAGGCGAUAGCACUUGUAUUUGGAAAUGCCCUUAUCAAUACCACAUUUCACCUUCUUCACCAUGGUAUCCAAGAGUUGUGCCUCAAGAAUUUGAUCUUCCAAAGUAGGAGAGACUAUGAGGUUGGCAAGAAAGCCUUGAGGAACAACUUGAAGAUUCAGCUUGCGGAAAGCUUCACAAAGGUCCGGUUGGAAGGGCUUGAGAAUUAGACUGUUGCAAUAAGCAUUUCUGCUCAGAGCAUCUGCAAUCACAUUCGCCUUGCCUGGAGUAUAUUCAAUACUCGGAUUGUACUCUUGAAUCAUUUCGACCCAUCAAGUUUGCCUGAGGUUGAGGUUGGGUUGAGUGAAGAUAUACUUGAGGCUCUUGUGAUCAGUGAAAAUGUCCACUUGCCUUCCCAAUAAGAGAUGUCUCCAUGUUAUCAAUGCAUGGACAACUGCCGCCAACUCGAGAUCGUGAGUGGGGUAGUUCUUUUCAUUGGGCUUCAACUGACGAGGGGUAUAGGCCACAACUUUCUUCUCUUGCAUUAACACAACACCGAGACCUUGAAGAGAAGCAUCACAGAAAACUUCGAAUGGCUUGGAUUCAUCAGGAGGAGUCAUGACAGGAGCUGUGACUAGCUUCUCUUUGAGGGUGUUGAAAGCAACGUCACACUCAAGCGUCCAUACAUACUUGACAUGCUUUUGGAGGAGGUUGUAAAGAGGCUUUGCAAUCUUAGAGAAGUUCUCAACGAAUCUUCGGCAAUAGCUUGCAAGACCAAGAAAACUGCGGAGCUGCUUGACAUUCUGAGGAGGUUCCCAAUUCACAAUUGCAGACACCUUCUCGGGAUUAACAGCGAUGCCCUUGGCGGAGAUGAUAUGACCAAGAUAAAGAACUUCAUCAAGCCAGAACUCACAUUUGGAAAACUUCGCAUAGAAUUGAUGCUCUCUGAGCUUGUCGAGGACCAAUCGCAAAUGUUUGGCAUGAUCCUUCUUAUUCUUGGAGAAGACCAAAAUAUCAUCGAGAUACACCAGAACGAAUUCAUUGGUGUAGGGGUUGAAAAUGAAGUUCAUCAUUCGAGAGAACGUUGGAGGAGCAUUGACAAGGCCGAAAGACAUGACAGUAUAUUCAUAAGAACCAAAGCUUGUUCUGAAUGCUGUCUUGGGAAUAUCUUGUUCACGAAUGCGAAUUUGAUGAUAACCCAUACGAAGGUCAAGCUUGGAGAAUACUUUAGCACCUUUGAGUUGCUCGAAUAGCUCAUUGAUGUUGGGAAGUGGAUACUUGUUCUUGAUUGUCUUCUUGUUCAAUGGAUGGUAAUCGACACACAGUCGGUCCGUGCCAUCCUUCUUCUGGACAAAAAGAACUCCACAACCCCAUGGAGAUGAACUCGGUCUGAUCAAACCCAGACACUCUUGUUCAUCGAGCUGUUUCUUCAAUUCCUUCAGCUCUUUAGGUCCAAGCUUGUAAGGACGUUUGCAAACGGGUUCAGUGCCAGGCUCUAGAUCGAUAACGAACUCAACUGGCCGAUGAGGAGGCAUACCCGGAAGCUCUUCUGGAAAGACAUCUUGGUACUCACAAACGACUGAAAUCUGAGAGAUAGCAUCCAACUCGCCCUUCUCAUUGAGAGAAAACAACCGAAUGGUUUCAUCACGAGCGGCAUAGAUGAUAACAUCCUCAGAAGAGUGUCUCAAUUGAAUUUCCCUGGCAGCACAAUCAAGUUGAGCUUUGUGCUGAGAAAGCCAGUCCAUUCGGAGAAUAAGAUCGAUAUCAGAGUCACCAAGAACAAUUGGUUUAGCCAGAAAUUUAUAGUUCCCCAUCUUGAUGGAAACAUCCUGAACCAUGUAGCUUGCGUUCAUGCAUUUACCCGGAGAGACAACUGCUAACGGUCUAGGCAAAUCUUGGAAAGACAACUCAUGCUUAGAUGCAAAUGGUCUUGAGAUGAAACUAAGCGAUGCACCAGUGUCAAAAAGAACUUUUGCAGGAAUAUCAUUAACAGGAAGAUUACCCAUGAUCACAUCUGAAGAAUCCUCUGACUGAGCUGCAUUCAUCAUGUUGACCUUUGCAAACUUGGAAUUAUGCUUGACCACCGCAUUGCUUGAAGAUCUCACAGGAGGAGGAGGCGGAAGGCGCCUUUGGUUGAAGCACUUGUUCGCGUAGUGACCUUUCUGCUGGCACUUGUUGCAAGUCACCUCUGAGAGCGGACGGUGAUAAGGAGCAUUUGACCUUGGAGCUUGAGGCUGAGACUUGUUCUGAUAGCCUGGGUUGGGUGGGUGGGAAGAUCCACGACCACCUGAGUUCUUCUGCUGGUAAGGCUGACGAAACGGAGGAGGAGGAAGGUAGAACUUCUGCUGCUUAGCUGCCACUUGUGAGGAAGAAGAAGACUGAACUGCAUCCCUGAUUCUCUUCUUAGAAGCCUCACACUUGAGCUGAGCACCUUCUUGCUUGAGGGCCAUAUUGUAGAAUUGAUCAAACUGAGUAGGCUCAACAAGAAUGAGAGCUAACUGCAGAUCCUCUCUAAGGCCACCUCUGAAUUGAUAGAUCAUACUCUUCUCAUCAGGAACGUCUUGUUUAGCGAAGCGAGCAAGUUUUUGAAACUGCUUGUUAUAUUUGUACACUGACAUGUUGCCUUGCUUGAGAUUGCGGAACUCCUCACGCUUGCUCUCAACAACACUGGUAGGAAUGUGGUGAGCUUUAAAGUCCCGACAGAAAUCAGUCCAAGUAAUCACUCGACCUCCUCUGGAAUCCUUGUAUUGCUGGAACCAAUCAGCUGCUUGAUCCUUGAGCUGAAAAGAAGCGAACUUGACGUAGUCCUCAGGCCUGACAUUGCUGCAUUCAAAAUGCUUGUUGAUAUCCACGAGCCAAUCAUCGACGUCCGUGGCCUCGGCACAGUAGCUGAAAGACUUCGGCUGAUUUGCCAGGAAUUGGUUGAGGGUAGGAAAUUGAGGCUGAUGAUUGAACUGCCCUUGACCUUGAUUCCCUUGGUUGCCUUGGCCUUGGUUGCGCUCUUGCAUCAGCUGAAUCAACAACUGAGCGCUGGCGUUUGUGGUUGCCAUCAAAGCUUGCCAUGCCUCCGGAGGCGGAGGUGGAGGUGGAGGGUUCACCUGACUCCCAUCAUUGCGUUCCGGAUUCUAACGCGUUGGCGGAGCCAUCCUGAAGAGGGUGACAUCCGUUAGCAUCUCUAUAGACAAAUAGACAAGUUGAAUCAACGGAUAGAAAUUGCAACAUAUAGUCUUCACAAUAAACAUUCGAACAAGGAUGAACGAAUGAAUUCCAAAGUAAACAUCACGUCCAUUAAGGUGAGAAGCCACUUGAUAAGGGGUUGAUGAAUGAAAUAAACAAGGUACAACUGGAACAAAUAAGUGGUAAGGAUUACCCAAUCACAAACCAAGUAUCUGCGGGAAGAAAUGCUAGAGCUACUUGAAACCCACCUAUAAACUCCCGAAACUUUCUGGUUAUGCAAUCAGGUGUUGGGGAUACAGGGGAAGCAAUAUAUCUCACCCAAACUAACAAUCCCUACAUCCAGCUGUAUCCAUCCGUCAACACAUAACCAAGAAACCUUCGGAAAUCGUGUACCUCAACCUUCGAAAAGCAUCCGUUAUAUGAGUCAUGGCAAUACUCCCGAACUCCCCAGUACUGGGUGACGUCGAGGUUAUCUCACCAACAACUGCAUAAAAGAGAUUUUUGAUGUCGGCAAAACUCAGGUAUUCCAGAACUGCAACGAUAAAAUUGUGACGACAACACCUCGGAGCUCAACUCCCCGGGUCACUGCCACAUAAAAGACAGGAGGCACCAAUAACAAUGUUCUCGUCACAAAACCAUCGGAACGAUUCCAAGAUAUUUGCGUGAUCCUAAAUUUUUUUAGUGAAAUUUGAGGAGAGGAAAGUCAAAACAUCUACGUCAGGAGACCUCACCAGAGCGACGAAGGGACUGAGGAGUAAAAAGAAUCCUACUCUCCGAUAUAUAUAAUCCUAAGACUCAACACAUUUUUUGUUCUAGACUCAACAACGCCAGCAAUCAAUCAAGCAGGGGCUCCUAAGUCGGGGAUGGCUCUGAUUACCAACUUGUAACGCCCACGAUGUGGCUAUAUCUCCCACGUGUCGAAGCACGACUUAGAGGCAUAACCACAUGGUGGUUUUGUCGCAAGAAGGGUCAUCUUCACACAAUCCCAUGUAAUGAACAAGAAUGGGAUAAAGAGAGUUGGCUUACAAUCUCCACUUCACACAAUACAUAAAUAAGUUCAUACGUCAUUCAAAAUACACUCAUAGACCGACUACGGUCAAAUCCAAAUGAAAAGAAGAUAACCCCAAAUGCUAGAUCCCCGAUCGUCCCGACUGGGCUCCACUACUGAUCAUCUGGAAACGAAACAUAGUAACGACCAAGGUCCUCAUCAAACUCCCACUUCAGCUCAAUUGCGCCACUUGCGCUGGUUUCCUCGGCACCUGCAUAUGUUUUUGGUAGAAUCUGUGAGCCACGGGGACUCAGCAAUCUCACACCCGCGAGAUCAAGACUAUUUAAGCUUGUAGGUAGGAAAGGGGUAAUAUGGUGGAGCUACAGCAAGCACUAAGCAUAUAUGGUGGCUAACAUACGCAAGUAAGAGCGAGAAGAGAAGCAACGCGUCGGUCGAGAAACUAGAAGUGAUCAAGAAGUGAUCCUGAAACUACUUACGUUCAUCCAUAACCCAAACCGUGUUCACUUCCCGGACUCCGCCGAGAAGAGACCAUCACGGCUACACACACGGUUUAUGCAUUUUAAUGAAGUCAAGUGUCAAGUUCUCUACAACCGGACAUUAACAAAUUCCCAUCUGCCUCAUGACCGCGGGCACGGAUUUCGAAAGAUAAUAUACCCUGCAGGGGUGUCCCAACUUAGCCCAUCACAAGCUCUCAUGGUCAAUGAAGGAUAUACCUUCUCCCGGGAAGACCCGAUCAGUCUCAGAAUCCCGGUUUGCAAGACAUUUCGACAAUGGUAAAACAAGACCAGCAAAGCCACCCGACUGUGCCGACAAAUCCCGAUAGGAGCUGCACAUAUCUCGUUCUCAGGGCACACCGGAUUUUCCAAACUUCCGAUAGGCAUCCCAGAGUUGCCCCUGGUGGCCACCGGUGGCUGACAGGUUGGACCAACACUCACGACGAGCACUGGCCCNNNNNNNNNNNNNNNNNNNNNNNNNNNNNNNNNNNNNNNNNNNNNNNNNNNNNNNNNNNNNNNNNNNNNNNNNNNNNNNNNNNNNNNNNNNNNNNNNNNNNNNNNNNNNNNNNNNNNNNNNNNNNNNNNNNNNNNNNNNNNNNNNNNNNNNNNNNNNNNNNNNNNNNNNNNNNNNNNNNNNNNNNNNNNNNNNNNNNNNNNNNNNNNNNNNNNNNNNNNNNNNNNNNNNNNNNNNNNNNNNNNNNNNNNNNNNNNNNNNNNNNNNNNNNNNNNNNNNNNNCGAAAACCGGAGGGAAAAAGGCUUAGGUGGCAAAUGGUAAAACCAAGGUUGGGCCUUGCUGGAGGAGUUUUAUUCAAAGCGAACUGUCAAGGGGGUCCCAUAAAUCAGCCAACCGCGUAAGGAACGCAAAAUCAAGGAACAUAACACCGGUAUGAUGGAAACUAGGGCGGCAAGAGUGGAAGAAAACACUAGGCAUAAGGCCGAGCCUUCCACCCUUUACCAAGUAUAUAGGUGCAUUAAUUUAAACAAGAGAUAUUGUGAUAUCCCAAAAUAUCCAUGUUCCAUCAAGGAACAAACUUCAUCUUCACCUGCAACUAGUAACGCUAUAAGAGGGGCUGAGCGAAAGUGGUGACAUAGCCAAACAACGGUUUGCUAGGAAAGGAUGGUUAGAGGCUUGACAUGGCAAUGCGGGAGGCAUGAUAAACAAGUGGUAGGUAGAGCUAACAUAACGAUAGAGCAAGCAACUAGCAAAGCAAAGAUAGAAGUGAUAUCGAGGGUAUGGUCAUCUUGCCUGCAAGGUUCUCAGAGUUGUCGAAGGCUUGAUCCUUGUUAGCGUACUCAAGAGGUUCCUCGUGCACGUACUCGUCUCCCGGCUCUACCCAAAGCAAGAACACAAGCAAUGGAACCACGAUAAAUCAUGGUGCAAUGCACAAGCAACAUGAUGCAAAACAUGGCAUGAUAUGCGAGAUGUGAUAUGCAAUGCGUAUGCGUGCUCCAGAAGGGAAAUGAUUAACAAUGCAUCAACUUGGCAAACCAAGUAUGCCGCUGGAAAGAUGAGAUGAUUUCGGUUGAAAUCGAUAUAAAGAUCACCGGAAUCGGAUGCACGGUUUGCAAAUGGCAAGCAAAACAAGAAUGACACAAAUCUGCGAUUAACAACACGAUGCAACUUAGCAUGCAACAAGAAACUAUGCUACAACACCCCAACAUAAAAAAAAGCAUAUGGAAGUGAUCUAAAGGAGAUGCUUGACAAAAGAGGAACACUGAGCUACGGCUAAAUCACACAAUAGCAGGUUCAAACAAGCAUGGCAAAAGUGCAAAAGAUAUCAGCUUGGACAUGGCAUAAACAGCAUCAGGUAGCAAUGUUCAGAGCAAGCAAUCAACAUGCCACAUGAAAUUAUAAUAUCAAAACAAGACAUGGCAUGAUUCUACUCAAAGCAUAGAACAAAAGUUCCUUACUAACCAUGAGCCAAAGAGGAUUAGAACCCAUGUAAACAUAGCAAGUUUCGUUAACAGAUUCAGCAAACAGAGCAUGGCAUUAACAGCAGCAUGAAGGCAUCUUUGCGAGCUCGAUUCACUCACCACAAGUCAUUGCAUGACAAUAUAAGCAUAGCACUAGCAAGAAUACAUGUUUAUGAAACUAAACAUGGCAAGAACAAGUUCAUAUCAUGCAAGGAUCAACUAAAACAACCUUGGCAAAAUUGAAUAACAUGUAAACAAUCUGCCAGGAAACAUUUUAUAGCAAAAGUAGAGCAAGAAAAUGACAUGCUAGACUACUCCAUAAUUCCAAACAGGGGCAUGGAUGGAUAGAUCAUAACCAUAUGUUUAAAACAUCCUUACUUAAGUAUCUCAAAAUAUGCAUGGAUCUCUCUGUAGCAUCAAGUUUACAUGGCAUAAAAAUAACAGCAGAACAGGGACUGAAAUCAGCAACAUCACAAAGCCUAGUUUGCAUGCUUGUGAUAGUUACCACAUUGAUCACAAAAAUACAUGGUAAGCACCUCUGUAAAGAUGUCAUGGCCUAGAACAAAACACCUGUAGAGCUCAUGCCAAUAAGAUGCACACCAUAAAUGUAGCAAAAAUGACAAAUGCACACAUUCUGUUAAGAAUCAGAAACUAACAUUAUAUAACACUCUUGCAUCAGAGAUUUGGGCAUCUAACUGACCUCAAAUGAACAUGGCCCAAUGGAACAAAAUGAAGAGCACAACAUGAUGAACAUUUUGAUAUAUCAUAUGCAUGAAACGGAUCUACAGAUGUGGAGAUAUGGCACGAUGAAUAUGGCAUAAAAAUAAUGCAGACUUUGCGAAAAAAACGAGGUCAACCUCUAGGGUUCCAGAUCUGGAUCGGGCUCGCGUGGAUCGAGGCGGGCCGGCAGCGGCUCACUGGAGUUGGUGCGAGAGGAGGCCGGAGACGGGGUCGGGGCCGGUUGGGGCGCCCAGAUCCGGCCGGGGGCGCGGUUGGCGGCGAGGACCGCNNNNNNNNNNNNNNNNNNNNNNNNNNNNNNNNNNNNNNNNNNNNNNNNNNNNNNNNNNNNNNNNNNNNNNNNNNNNNNNNNNNNNNNNNNNNNNNNNNNNNNNNNNNNNNNNNNNNNNNNNNNNNNNNNNNNNNNNNNNNNNNNNNNNNNNNNNNNNNNNNNNNNNNNNNNNNNNNNNNNNNNNNNNNNNNNNNNNNNNNNNNNNNNNNNNNNNNNNNNNNNNNNNNNNNNNNNNNNNNNNNNNNNNNNNNNNNNNNNNNNNNNNNNNNNNNNNNNNNNNNNNNNNNNNNNNNNNNNNNNNNNNNNNNNNNNNNNNNNNNNNNNNNNNNNNNNNNNNGCCGGGGCGGUGCGGUGCGGGCCGCGGGGGCCGGCUUCGGGCCCGGCGGGCUUCAGCCAUGGGAGGCGGUGGCGCGCCACGUGGCACGUUCGGAGUGGCUGGGGCGCGGUGGCGGAUGUGUCCGACUCCGCCCGGACGUGUCCGGCGGCGGAGAGGGAGCGGACUAGGGUUUCAGGAUCCGGAAAUUUCGGAAGGGUGCACAUAUUUAUAGGUAGAGGGAGCUAGGAGACUCCAAAUGGGGUGUAGUUUUCACCCACACGAUCGUGAUCCGACGAUGGAGAGCAUGGAAGUGACUUAGAUGGGUUUUUGGGCUGUUUUGAAGGGGUGUUGGGCUGCAACACACAAGAGGCCUUCGCGGUUACCCGGUUAACCGUUGGAGUAUCAAACGACCUCCAAAUGGCACGAAACUUGACAGGUGGUCUACCGGUGGUGUACCAAGGCCACUUGGCAAGCCUCGGUCCAUUCCGAGAACGUUUAACACCCGCUCACAAAAAGAUACAAGAGGGGUGCGCCGGUGCAUGUAGGAGUGUCGGAUGGCGAAACAGCCAACGGGGAAAAUGCUCGGAUGCAUGAGACGAACACGUAUGCAAAUGAGAUGCACAUGAUGACAUGAUAUGAGAUGCAUGACAUGAACAAAAUGCAAAACGAAAGACAAAACCCAACCACGGAGGGAAUACCAUAGCACAUAGCCGAAAAUGGCAAGAGUUGGAGUUACAAAUAUGGAAAGUUACAUCCGGGGUGUUACAGGCGCGCCUAUAGGAGGAGUCCAAAUAGGAUUCCCAAUCCUAGUUGGGGUCCCUGUCGGCGUUUUGGGAACGGGGGUCCCCAGACUUGCCUGCCUGCGGCCUACGGCGUGGCUCCACUAGUGGCCCAGUACGGCUCAUCUUUGUCAACCAACACUCAAGACCCUCGCAAGGGGCCAAGCCUCAUGGGGUGGACGACACAAGGCCUCCUCAGGAGCGUCCUCACUAGGCAGGCUCGCGAGGAGGCGGAGAGAUCAAGGCAAGGGGCACCUCAUGAUGUUCCCGUGACGCAAGCCAUGACGACCAAGGCCAGGCAGGCGCCAGCGCAUGCAGUGUCCUCGUUUCCCCUUUGGUGCUAAGGGGGCAAGCGAAGGCGCGGAGUACCGAGGCAUCAGACAAAGGUUUCCAUAUCAAUGCAACAAGACCAAGACCAACAGGACGGCAAGACGGAGGUCAUCGUGGAGCCCAAGGCAGCGUCACCACCAGCGCCUUUGAUAGGCGAAGACCACCUUUAGUCAGGAUAGCUGCUACGUCUUGAGGUUGCGUUGGUUUUCCUUGAAGAGGAAAGGGUGAUGCAGCAAUAGUAGCGUAAGUAUUUCCCUCAGUUUUUGAGAACCAAGGUAUCAAUCCAGUAGGAGGCUCCUCAAAAGUCCCACGCACCUACACAAACAAACAAAGAACUCGCAACCAACACAAUAAAGGGGUUGUCAAUCACUUCACAGCCACUUGCGAAAGUGAGAUCUGAUAGAGAUAAUAUGAUAAGAUAAAUAUAUUUUUGGUAUUUUAUAUUAUAGAUUGGAAAAGUAAAGAUGCAAAUAAAAGUAGAUUGAAAGCUUAUAUGAUAAAAGAUAGACCCGGGGGCCAUAGGUUUCACUAGUGGCUUCUUUCAAGAUAGCAUAAGUAUUACGGUGGGUGAACAAAUUACUGUCGAGCAAUUGAUAGAAAAGCGAAUAAUUAUGAGAUUAUCUAGGCAUGAUCAUGUAUAUAGAUAUCACGUCCAUGACAAAUAGACCGACUCCUGCCUGCAUCUACUACUAUUACUCCACACAUCGACAGCUAUCCAGCAUGCAUCUAGAGUAUUAAGUUCAUAAGAACAGAGUAACACAUUAAGAAAUAUGACAUGAUGUAGAGGGAUAAACACAUGCAAUAUGAUAUAAACCCCAUCUUUUUAUCCUCGAUGGCAACAAUACAAUACGUGCCUUGCUGCCGCUGCUGUCACUGGGAAAGGACACCGCAAGAUUGAACCCAAAGCUAAGCACUUCUCCCAUUGCGAGAAAGAUCAAUCUAGUAUGCCAAACCAAACUGAUAAUUCGAAGAGACUUGCAAAGAUAACUCAAUCAUACAUAAAAGAAUUCAGAGGAGAUUCAAAUAUUUCUCAUAGAUAAACUUGAUCAUAAACCCACAAUUCAUCGGAUCUCAACAAACACACUGCAAAAAGUGUUACAUCGAAUAGAUCUCCAAGAAUAUCAAGGAGAACAUGGUAUUGAGAUCCAAAAAGAUAGAAGAAAGCCAUCUAGCUAAUAAUUAUGGACCCGAAGGUCUGUGGUAAACUACUCACAACUCAUCGGAGGGACUAUGAUGUUGAUGUAGAAGCCCUCCGUGGUCGAUUCCACCUCCGGCGGAGCGCUGGCGAAGGCUCCAAGAUGGGAUCUCACGGAUACAGAAGGUUACAGUGGUGGAAAUAGUUUUUCGUUGGCUCCCUGGAUGUUCUCGGGGUACGUGGGUAUAUAUAGGAGGAAGAAGUAGGUCGGUGGCGGCCCGAAGGGCCCAUGAGAUAGGGGGCGCGCCCUGUAGGGGUGGGUGUGUCCUCCACCCUCAUGUCCGCCUUGACUGCUUCUUGACUUGCACUCCAAGUCCGCUGGAUCACGUUCGUUCCAAAAAUCACGCUCCCAAAGGUUUCAUUCCGUUUGGACUCUGUUUGAUAUUCCUUUUCUUCGAAAUACUGAAAUAGGCAAAAAAAACAGCAAUACGUGGAGGGCCUCCAGUUAGUAGGUUAGUGCAAAAAAUGAUAUAAAUGUGUAAAGUAAAGCCCAUAAACAUCCAAAACAGGUAAUAUAAUAGCAUGGAACAAUAAAAAAUUAUAGAUGCGUUGGAGACGUAUCAAGCAUCCCCAAGCUUAAUUCCUGCUCGUCCUUGAGUAGGUAAAUGAUAAAAAUAGAAUUUUUGAUGUGGAAUGCUACCUAGUAUAAUUCUCAAUGUAAUUUUCUUUAUUGUGGCAUGAAUGUUCAGAUCCAAAUGAUUCAAAAUAAAAGUUCAUAUUGACAUAAGAAAUAGUAAUACUUCAAGCAUACUAAUCAAAGCAAUCAUGUCUUCUCAAAAUAACAUGGCUAAAGAAAGUUCAUCCCUACAAAAUCAUAUAGUUAGGCCAUGCUUCAUUUUCAUCACACAAAAUACUCCCAUCAAGAACAACCCCGGUUUCAGCCAAGAAAUUGUUCAUACUUUUUAACGUGCUUCAACCUUUUUCAACUCUCACGCAGUACAUGAGCGUGAGCCAUGGAUAUAGCACUAUGGGUGGAAUAUAAUAUGAUGAUGGAGGUUGUGUGGAGAAGACAAAAAAAGAGAAAGUCUCACAUUGACGAGGAUAAUCACCGGGCUAUGGAGAUGCCCAACAACAUGAGGAGUAGGGAUUGCCAUGCAACGGAUGCACUAGAGCUAUAAAUGUAUGAAAGCUCAACAAAAGAAAACUAGUGGGUGUGCAUCCAACUUGCUUGCUCACGAAGACCUAGGGCAUUUGAGGAAGCCCAUCGUAGGAAUAUACAAGACAAGUUCUAUAAUGAAAAAUUCCCACUACUAUAUGAAAGUGACAACAUAUGAGACUCUCUAUAUGAAGAACAUGGUGCUACUUUGAAGCACAAGUGUGGAAAAGAAUGGUAACAUUGCCCCCUUUUUAUUUAUUUUCUUUUUUCCUUUUUUUUCUUUUUUUGGCCUUUCUUUUUUUCUUUUCUUUUUUGCCUUUCUUUUUUUUCUUUGGCCUUCCUUUUUCUUUUCUUUUUGGCCUUUCUUUUUUGGGGACAAAGAUCUAAUAAUGAUGAUCAUCACACUUCUAUUGAUUUACAACUCAUGAACUACAACUCAAAACUAGAACAAGAUAUGACUCUAUAUGAAUGCCUCCGGCGGUGUACCGGGAUGGGCAAUGAAUCAGGAUUGACAUGUAUGAAAAAUUAUGCAAAGUGGCCUUGCCACAAAUACGAUGUCAACUACAUGAUCAUGCAAUGGCAACAUGACAAUAGUAAUGCGUGUCAUGAUGAUGAACGGAACGGUGGAAAGUUGCAUGGCAAUAUAUCUCAGAAUGGCUAUGGAAAUGCCAUAAUAGGUAGGUAUGGUGGCUGUUUUGAGGAAGAUAUAAGGAGGUUUAUAUGUGAUAGAGCAUAUCGUAUCACGGGGUUUGGAUGCACCGGCGAAGUUUGCACCAACUCUCAAGGUGAGAAAGGGUAAUGCAUGGUACCGAAGAGGCUAGCAAUAAUGGAAAGGUAAAAGUGCGUAUAAUCCAUGGACUCAACAUUAGUCAUAAAGAACUCAUAUACUUAUUGCAAAAGUUUUAUUAGACCUCAAAGCAAAGUACUACUACGCAUGCUCCUAGGGGGGAGGUUGGUAGGAGUUAACCAUCGCACGCCCCCGACCUCCACUCAAGGGAAGGCAAUCAAAAUAGCACCUCAUGCAAUAAAUUUGUUACACAACUUUUACCAUAUGUGCAUGCUACGGGACUUGCUAACUUCAACACAAGCAUUCUUUAAAUUCAUAAUCACCGAACUAGCAUGACUUUAAUAUCACUACCUCCAUAUCUCAAAACAAUUAUCAAGUAUCAAAUUGAUCAUAGCAUCUAAUUCACUUCCUAUGAUAGUUUUUAUUAUACCCAACUUGGAUGCCCACCAUUCUAGGACCAAUUUUAUAACCAUAGAAAAUACCAUGCUGUUCUAAGAGACUAUCAAAAUAAUAUAAGUGAAGCAUGAGAUACUAGUAAUUUCUACAAAAUUAAGCCACCGCCGUGCUCUAAAAGAUAUAAGUGAAGCACUAGAGCAAAAACUAUCUAACUCAAAAGAUAUAAGUGAAGCACAUAGAGUAUUCUAAUAAAUUCCAAUCAAGUGGGCUUCUCCCGAAAGGUGUGUACAACAAGGAUGAUUGUGUAAAACUAAAAAUCAAAUACUAAUAUCAUACAAGACGCUCCAAGCAAAACACAUAUCAUGUGGCGAAUAAAAAUAUAGCUCCAAGUAAAGUUACCGAUAAACGAAGACGAAAGAGGGGAUGCCUUCCGGGGGCAUCCCCAAGCUUAGGAUUUUGGCUAUUCUUGAAUAUCUUGGGGUGCCAUGGGCAUCUCCAAGCUUAGGCUCUUGCCACUCCUUAUUCCAUAGUCCAUCAAAUCUUUACCCAAAACUUGAAAACUUCACAACACAAAACUCAACAGGAAAUCUCAUAAGCUCCGUUAGUGAAAGAAAGCAAAACCACCACAUAAGGUACUGUAAUGAACUCAUUUUUUAUUUAUAUUGUUGCUAAAACUACUUUAUUUCAAGUUCUCUAUGGUUCAUACCACUUAAUACUAGCCAUAGAUGCAUCAAAAUAAGCAAACAACACACGAAAAACAGAAUCUGUCAAAAACAGAACAGUCUGUAGCAAUCUGUAAUCCAUGAAUACUUCUGGAACUCUAAAAAUCCUACCAAAAUAGUAAGUCAUGGGUUAUUUGUCUAUUUGAUCUACAGCAAAAAGAAUCAACACAAAAGCACGUUUCUGUGAUUUAACAAAACUAAUUUCGUGCGCGUAAAGUUUCUGUUUUUCAGCAAAAUCAAAUUAACUAUCACCAUAGGUUAUCCUAUAGGUUCUACUUGGCACAAACACUAAUUAAAACAUAAAAACACAUCUAAAUAAAAGUUAGAUGCAAAAUUUAUUAUUAAAUUGAAACAAAAACAAAAACAC
rnacentral:lncRNA from 1 species